rfam:Rhodobacter sphaeroides 2.4.1 chromosome 2, complete sequence.
CAACCGUCACAACGGCUUCCUGGCGUGACGGGGUUAACCCCAACGGAGCA